rnacentral:rRNA from 1 species
UACGUAGGCAGCGAGCGUUAUUCGGAAUUACUGGGCGUAAAGAGUGUGUAGGCGGUGCUCUAAGUUCGGUGUGAAAUCUCCUGCUUAACUGGGAGGGUGCGCCGGAAACUGGAGUGCUCGAACGUGGGAGAGGAAAGCGGAAUUCCUGGUGUAGCGGUGAAAUGCGUAGAUAUCAGGAGGAACACCAGUGGCGAAGGCGGCUUCCUGGCCUGUAACUGACGCUGAGACGCGAAAGCGUGGGGAGCGAACCGG